CGCCAUGCACCGGCUCGGGCAUAGUGCCGUGCGAGCACCCCUGCUCCGGCCUAGGUGCAGGACCACCCAAGGAUAACUAGCUGUGCUGCCUGUCUUCAUGGUUAUGACAAAUUUGACAUGAAGGCCGGCGACGAGCCGGGUCGACGUUAGACAGAUUCAAGGCUGCCAGGGAGCCUGCACGGCCACCCCAACUCGCUACUGACGGUCAGGCACUGCGUCCUCCCGCUGUUCAGGAUUGACAACUUUGUGAGCUCGACGCCGACGCGGCGACCUCGAUUCCGCUUUCCAGGCCCUUGUUAACUUUGGCCCCAAGAGGUUGAGUUUCUUUCUUUGGUCGCCCUGGAAUACAUUACUGCCAUGCUAUGCAGUAGUGUUAUGUGUGUUGUGUUUUGGGUCAUGGCCUAAGUGCCACGGCCUUGCCUGCAUCUUGUGGUAGCCAUGCACUAUACUUCAAUGUUUUGUGGUAGCUGGUGUUUGCUAUUUGGUAUUAUCAUUUACUUGAAACUUUUAUGCACUGGUAUGUGCUAGUCGUUGUGCCUCCACUUGGGCUAGUUGUGUGAUGGCUUGGUCCGGAUCGUGGAGCGGCUGGAGCUGGUUGAGUGUAGGAAUGAGGAAACAUGUGUUUGGUUUCUAGUAUUAAAGAAUAUACUACUCCUUCCUAUCCAUAGGAAGUGUGGUGGUUUUAGUUGUCUAGUUUGAACUAGAACCACGACACAGUAUUAUGGAUGGAUCGGAGGGAGUAGCAUAAAUGUUGUCUUGUCUUGUACUUUAUAUUGCCUUGCAUGUAUGUUGUGGUUGAAUUGUUUGUUUCUGCUGUGUUAUAUGGAGAUGCAUUGGCUAGUUACGAAAUCUUGUUCUUGUUAUUGAAAUGUGUUGAAGGAUUUGAGUUUGUUUCGGUAUUGUUAUGGUGUUGUAUUA